GUACAUAUUAUAUUAUAUUUAUAUUUUCAUAAUAUGAUAAUAUAAAACAAUUGUUAUAAUAGAUUGAGCACGUGUGUGCAUAAUCGCAAGAAAUUAACAUCGAGUGUGCAUCGUUAUGUGCUUUCAUGAAAUUACGCGGCUGCAAAAUUGCACAUGUCGAAUUAUCUGCCGCAAAAGACGCCGUGACUCGGCAUGAUUAAGAUUCCUGAAGCGUUCGCACGAUCACUGAGACAAUGCAGAAUUUAAGCUCGAUGCGAGUACAAGCAGUGAUAUACAACAAAUGUUUCCUCUUUCAUCAAAUUUAUUAAAUUCAUAACAAAUAAUAGUUUAAAUCAUUACAGCAUAAUGAAGAAUUUAUAAUGUAAUAAUAAUAUGCAAUUAAUAACAGGAAAUAAUGGACAAACAUCUAUUCCACGUAAUUUUAGAACAUAUAAAUAUUUUUUAAUCAUUAUGCGACGCCCGAAAUCAUGAUUUAUUCAUAAAUGUAUCAAUUAUCUCUUAAACUUGAACUCGACUAUGUGAGAAGAGAAACAUAAAUUAGAUGCGAGCUACAGACGAGUUCGCGAGUAUGUAGUCACGAAGAGAGACGGCCUAGUGACUCACGCCGAAUCUGAAAAGUUGUCACGUCCGAAAAAGGAAAUCGACAGGAUCGACUGCUUCCUCGCCUGAUCCAUCUGACAUUAAAGGAAAGGCUCGCGCAUCCAAGAGCGAAACGAGAAAAGGUGGUCUUGCCUAGUGUUUUACGAAGCCCAAGUUGCAAGAGUUUCCUGUGUGACAGGCAAUAAGUAAAGUCAUUCGAAGAAGAGAUAAGCAAAGAGCACUUAAAAAAAAGUAUUAUUAUCCGCAUCGAGUCCCUGUGAAAGUCCAAUUAUUUCGAAACGAAAUGUGGUGACUCUCGUGAUGACGAGGUGGCACGUGCAUAAUUCGAGAUAUAUUUCGAUUUUGUUCAGAGCGGCGAAAGCUACUUGUCUUUCGUCCUGAGAGAUCCACGCGCGUGAUUUUAUCUGGGAAAAAGCCGGGCGUUUCUAAAACCAUGAAGAGCAACGCUUAGCUUCUUCAGUUGCGCUCUAAUUACCCGCCGUACUCUACGGCCAUCCGCUCUGCUAUCAUGAACUGUAACUGUAUGGUACAGUUUCUUCGUGGUCAGCGAUGAUUACGCGACAGUAAAACCUGAAAGCCUGAAUAAAGGAUAAUACUCAAUGAGCAUCCGUUGUCGCUCUUGAGAUAUGCCAUCCGUUGCCUCGCGUUUCCAAGCGCUGAAUAGCCAUUUCGGUAAUAAUGUAAUAUUUAAGAGAGAUUCGACGAAUGAACUAACUUCGCUUAAACGCAAUUAGAUACUACGAUAAUUUAAUUCAGAAAAAACUUUUUAAGCUUCGUUUCUACAUUAUACAGAUUUUGUAUUCCGAUUAUUUUAUCUGAUUGUGAGUUAGAAUCUCGCAUUUAUACCAGAGAACUUCUGCUUUUAAAUUCCGCAGUGUUUAAACCCGAGCCACAGUUUGUUUAUAUUAUUUGCUACAAAAAGCGGUUCGGUUUGAAGAGCGAACAUCUCGAUCCCGCGAGGAUACUUUGCGAGAUAGACAUCGGUUUACAAACGUGCGUUCAACCCGACUAACCGGUGCAUUCUCGGCCGAUGAUUCCGUCAGACCGGCUCGCCACGGACGUAUUUACUCCUGUUAGAGCAUUCCCAUAGUAACACGAAAACGUCACAAAGAGAGACUCGCAUUCGCGCUCGAACAAUGCACAGCUGUCGGACUUUGGUAAUUGCCUGAAAACAACGUUGACUUCUAACUAGCUGUCUGACGAGGAGAAUGCAUCGCUGCCUUCGCACUGACAAGCCUUUCGCGAAGGAUUGGCAAAUUGGCCGUGCGUCCAACUGUGUCGAAAUCGUCGAAGAAUACGAUGAACUGGCAAGAACGACGAGAAUACGGAAUAUCGUCUAGCCAAAAGCAGACGUGUCGCAAUCUCGCGAACAUUUCACGCCGAUUGUUUCGCACGGAACAUUACACCUCGCGUAGCAAUUAAGAUCAAUUGAAGCAAAUGCAGUCAUCGAAAGCCAUUUGAAGAGUAAUUCACUGAUUAAUGGAAUCGCGGUCUCCGUGAAAUUGGGAAUUCUCACGAGGAAUGUGGCCUGCAAUUCCAAUACCGUCCGGAAAUGCGCCAUGAUCGGAUAAUACGGAUGGCCACUUCGUGAAUGCCUUUGUUGGAAACCCACGUCGCGUAAAUCUCUCUUCUCGUCGCAUGUAUGAUGGCCGGAAAAUGCGCAUCGCGAAUCUGGUACGCGCUUAAAAGCUAUCCGAGAUCAAGGCGACUCACGGCGAACGUGAUAAAAUGCACAUAAAUUUCAGAUCGUAAUUCAACUGUCAGCCGUAUCAGUGAUUCACAUACCUUUCAUGUUGCCCAAUCGCAACGAGGAAUUGAAAAGAGACUUUUUUUGCGAAAAUUAACGAGAACUGAAAACGAGAGCUAAGCAUCAUAUUAACGAUUUACAAAUUGUAGAGCAUAUCAUAUUUUAAGUCUCCAUGCUUGCAAUAAAAAAAAAUAAAAAAAGAGGAAGAACAGCGUGAAAUUUAAUUUUUCUGCUCCACAACGAUAUAUUAGGUGUUGCCGUUUUUUAUCAAAUUAAUUAAUGUAGAGAUGCCUUUCUCAGUCUUGAUGUUGUUGUUUUCAUAUAAAGCCAUAUAUCAUUAUAACUAUCACUUUUCAUCAAUUAACCGAUAUCGUCGAAAAUAAAAAUCUUCAGCUGCAGUACCAACGGUUCUUACAGAGUGAAACGCGAUCGAGAUCGAAAAAGAAAUUUGCGAAAAAUUGCGGGGAAAGUUUGUAGAAAGAGGAGAAGUAGGAUUGUGCAGUGCGAUGGAAAACCGGUUGCCCGUCUACUGUUAAACCAACUAUUAGAAUGAUUAAUUUUUUCGUGUUCCACGUGCUUCGUCUAUCUCCAGCCUUUCGAAGAGCGAAGUUAUUCAAGUUCGGAAAUUGAGAAAGCGAAAGUUUGCGGAUACGGAAAACCCUUGAAGCAUGAAAUCUUACAUCACCAGGCGCAUCCAGAAAACUAAUUAUAAAAAUAAAACUUGGCGUCGAAUGAACGAACGAAUAAUGUUUCCUAUACGUUUGCUUCCGAACUCGCAAUCGUGUGAGCUUCUUGAAUAAUUCAGACUCCUUUCUUCCCUAAUGGAUAUUUUAUGAAACGGUGUCUCUGUUGCAAUUUUUAAAUAAUCGAUAUUACUUAAAAAUACUUGAUGACUGAAUAUUACUGCGUAGCGGCGAACUUUGGUUAAAACGGCACAUGUCCAACAUAUACGUUUCUUUGAAGGUCGACUUGUACUUUUAUGACAAACGCGGCAUCCGGUGUGAGCAUCGUUCAUUCAAGAAAUCACCUGUUUUCACGGCAGGUGAAGAAUAUGGAAUACACCGGAUAUGUCUCACAUAUGCGAAGUACAAUCCAUCGAUGCUCGCACGAAACUGCGAUAACAGAUGUGGAACUCUUUCAUAUAAAAAUUUCAACACGCACGAGUUGUAGCAUAGUCAUUCCAACUUCUAACGUGUCACAACAACGUGUAACAACGCAAAUCUGAGUCCUUGUAAUUUUAACUUACUUUAUUAUUACAAAUAAAUAUAACUUAAAAUGAUCAAAAACUGACGAAUAACUAUUUAUCAAAAUUUAAUGGAGCAUGAUAUUUUGUUAUUUUUGGUCUCUCUAAUUAAUUAUCUUACUUUGAAUGUUAAAUUGUUUCGUUAUAUUUUCUUGAUCGGUAUCAAACUAUUCUAACUUACAAGAUUCUGAUGCAAAGUAAAACUUCCGCAGAUCUAUUUCACCGACAAACGUUAAUCGAUCCAAUGACAAUACAACAAUUAUAACGCUGAGCAAAAAAUAUAUUUUUUAAGGGAUACUCAUGAUGGACCAGAUCUUACUUUACUGAUAAGGAAAAAUCGUUAGAGUCAACGAGGAGAUUAGGUACGCUCGGAAUCACCGUUACAAGUGCCUACCUGUCCUGGGGGGACCUAAAUAAUGGCAACCCAGCGCGCUUCACCUGGGAAAUAAUCAAUAAGGACAAGCAAGUCGGUGCGGGUGUAUACAGGUAUACACCGACCUGACAUCGCCACUGACCGCUACUUUUCCGCGAUACAUUCGACGCGAGAUUCCUUUCGUUAGAAAUAAAGUGAGUAACUUUUAUAUUCAUCUAUUUUCUAUGCCAUGUCUUUUUCAGAAUUCGCUUUCUGGAUACGAAACUUUGCGCUUAUUCAUGUUUAAAAAAUUUUUAAAUAAAUUAAAACAGAAUUCUCAGGACUUUCCGUUGUUUGUCGAAUGGAGCAAUUUUGUUCUUCAAAAGGAUAACCGGCAUUCCACAAGUUCUCUAUAAAUAGCGUCACGGUGCUCUCCAAAAAACAAAGGAUAUUCGCGAAAGUGGUUGAAUUGGACCGUACAAUAAGACGGAGAUGAUGAUCAACGUUGCGCAGCGACAAACGUUGAGAUGUCAGCAUGAAAGAGAGAGAUUGCUUUUCCUCCUGAUACGAUCUGCGCGGGAAGAGGAUGAACCCUUAUUUUCGGGUCAACAAUACUCUGAGCUCUGCUCGCGUCUUUUAUCUCCACUUUCUUUUUCAAUUUAUCUACUCGAUCGAAUGAGAACUGCCUUGGAAGAUACAAUCUAUAUUUUGAAACGAAAAUACAUGCGUAAAUCAAGAUUAGCGGACUGGAUUAUAAAGGUAAGUCACGUUCGGAUUUAUGAGCCUGUCUGGAUACGCGCAAAGGCAAGUGCCGCCGUUUGUCGUUGACACGGCACACCACCUCGUCAAGAUCAAUAGGACUACCGCGAAGAGGUGACGGGAGAAGCAAGUAUGCACGAAGAAUUAAGUGCAAUGACCGAACAACACGAUAAACUCUCGGCGGUACAACGUGGGCGUUCGUUCUCAAAAACAGCUAAUAUCGAACAUAAUAAAAUACAAAUUACUUGAAAGUACAUCAAGUUAAUGUAAAAAAUAACACUUUCUUCGACAACGCGAACGUUCGUUCUCGAAAACAAAACAACAAAUAUCGAACAGGUACAAAUUACUUGAACAUAAGUCAAACUAAUUUAGAAAUAAUACUUUCUUCGAAAGAGUUGAUAUCGUUAAAAAGUCUGGCGUAACUAAAAAAAACUAAAUAAAGAUCUCUCUCGCGUCGGAUGACAAUGCAUUAGAACUCUCGAAACAACACGGACAAACGUGACGAGGAGAACAAAGUAUAUACGCGUCAUGCUCACUCUCCUCUCACUUUGGUGAACUCAUCCUCGACGAUUAUAGAACACUGACGCGCAAUGGUCGCGACCAUAACGCUGUGGUGUACCGUUAAAGUAACUUACAUGAGGCGGUGCAUCGUCGACCCGGUACUGGCGAUACUCCCAUAGCAACCAACUGACCUAAAUACGACAUUGUUGAAUAAUCCGGACAAUUACGAAAAAACGCGUCGUUAGCACAUGUAAUUGCAUCGUGACGGGGUUUCUCAUUAACGCCUUUUCGUGUCAUGCGAUAACCAAGAAUCAAGAGUGGGCAUUAACAUUCUCUUGCCCGGUUUCGACGCUACAAAAGAAAUUAUCGAGCCACAUUUCUCAUAAGUUUUAAUCUUGAUGUAUCUGUCUCUGUCCCUCUUUUUCCCUCUCUCUUUCGCUCUAUGAGCCUCCUUCACCUCUUCCUAAAUAGAAUAGCGAGACGUGAAUGAUACUUCAACUGGUGAUAUGAACGGACAGUAAUUAGAGACGAGUAACAAUUGUUACAUUAGAAAUUUAUUAUUUAUCCCCUGCAUUAUUUAAAGCUAUCGUUUCAAUAUAUAUAUAAUAUACGAAAAUUGCGUUCGUAAACGAAUUCAUAAAUGCAAUGCAAGUGAUUUGAUCGCGCGAGGGAAAUUGCGGCGCGCCUUUGGCUACAGCAUUAAUGAAAGGAAUAGGUGUGUCGGCAUGGACGAUGACGUUUCGACGGUCACGGUCUGAGAGAAUGGUGGUUUCUUUGGACUUUCUCGCACCCGGCGAUCACUCGAUACUUCGGUGUUCGCAAGCGUACAAUAAACGCGACGCGACCGCUCGUAGGAUUCAUCGUGCUAAGGAGGCUUCUUGAAUUUCGCUAGACGUUAAACCGGUCGAAAUCAUUAUGUGAUCAUUACACGCUCCUCCCCCAAAGUAAAGCGCCGUUUGCAAAUGAUCAUCGAUCCUGUUAAUCCUGUCCAGUACGCAAAAAAGCAUCCACACGCGUUUAUCUCGCUAAAACAGAGAUUCUCGCUUUCGAUACAUUUGUAAAAGUCGCAAAGAUUUUCUCGAAACGUCUUUGCGAUCGAUGACGCAUGAUAUUUAUAAAUUCAUUGGAUACAUUUAUCGAUUAAAAAUACUUGUUAUUAAUAUUGAUAUUGAAGUUUCUUUGUAUCGCUCAAGAGCUCUGAAAUUUUAAUUGUUUCCGUUUCAAUCUCGAUCAAGUUAUUGCUGGUUUAAAUGCAUUAAUUAAAUGCAUCUAUGAGCUUCUUCUUCCUUCCAGCUCUGUGUCCUUCCAGAAUCUAAUUCAUCUAAUUUAUACCAUUGGGAUCAGGUAAAAGAGAUCUCUCGUUAGCCACAUCCGGAUUAUAAUUGAUUCAUUACUGAUAGAGGUGUGCCCAUAAAUAUCAUACAAAACAACAAAAUAUUAUAUCCGUUGAGAACGUCAUUCUUGCGUUUUCUCACGCUAUAAACAGAAAAUCGACGCGAGCGCGAGCAAGUCGCAAGUCCUUCCGUUAGCCCCGACAGAUUUUGCUUCUAGAUACAGAUUCGAUACAGGAGAGCGGAUUGCGCAACUGGUUAUACGGUUCAUCGACGGUGAAGCAAUCUCAAAAAGAAAUCGAGAUCAUUGACCCCGAAUACGGCCUUCGACGACAUUUUCGUACACAUCUACAUCGAUAUUUUUAUUGUAUGUGUAAUAACGGAUUAUUGAUGAUCGUUAGAUGUGUUAGACCAGUUAGACAGUCAUCACACUCGUUUGAGGAUACUGAAUACGUGUGUUAAAUCUAUCUUUGAAAAAAUGUAAUCAUUAAUACGCUGUUAUUAUUUUCAUGUGGAAAACUGUAAAUGUACAAUGUCGAUUGUUUGCGAAUCGUAUUCUGUUUAUCGUCAUCUGCUUUCAAGAACAAGAAAUUUUCGUACGACAAAGUUAGCUCCAAAUGUUAAAGCGUUAUGUUAAUAGACCUCGAAAAUAUAUAAGUCAGACGGUAAAGCAGUAAUAAAUUUUUCACAAUUAUAAAUCCGCCGUUAUCUCGGCACGAUAAAUUACGUUUCUCACGUGGCACUUGUUUAACGAUCCAUGCGAUUGAAGUUGCUCGCGAAGCGCCGGUUAUCGAUAAAUAAAUGCAAUUUUACGUGCGCGAUUUAGUACCAACUGUAAACAGGAUUCGUUAAACUUGUCGACGGAAAAAGAGAGGCACACUUUACAGUUACCUCCGAGCGAUUGAUAAAUUUAUCAUCGGAUGUAUAUCCGCUCUGUGGAUCCGCGCGAUAUAAUUUAUUGGAAUAAUUAAAAAUAAUUUACCGACGUAAUUUCAAGAACGAUUAGACGAGUAUUCUCCGGCAGAAACGUUUCGAUGUUGUUUCGAUCGGAUGUUGAUGCAAUUGAUACGAAACGCCGAAGAAAGCAAAACAAUGUUAUUAACAGCGUGUGUUAUUGAUAGAAGUACAAUCUGAAAUGUGACGAAACGAGUCCUGACACGCUGUUAGAUACGUGAGUCCUGCAAUUGAAAUGUAUGACAACAAAGUCAGUAACGUGUCAAGGACCGUUACGUGAAAUAUCGAAUGAAAGUCUAUAUCGUCCAUACGUAUAUAUUGCUCUCGUAUCAAAAAAGCAAUUCUUUUUCAUUAUACGUUUCCACAGUUCGCUGGUGCCAAUACCAAUUUUUCGCAUCAAUUUGCGAUAGUUUCCAAUAUUUACCAAUAAAAUAAAUUCUGCAAACAA
rnacentral:lncRNA from 1 species